GGGGUUGUGGCUCAGUGGUAGAGCGCUCACCAAGCAUGUGUGAGGCACUGGCUUCGAGCCUCAGCACCACA
rnacentral:tRNA from 1 species